rnacentral:lncRNA from 1 species
UUCAAGUAUUUUCCUGAUUUCCAUUACCUACUCCCUUAUCACCUCACACUUUGACUUUUACAUGAUCUUUAACAAUUUAAGUGCUUCUAGGAGGCAAAGGGUCAAACAGUCAAGCUAUUCAACACAUGGAUGUAGGUUAUUGCAAGGUUAUCAAAGAAACAGGCUUUAGGCUCAAAGAGGUUAACUAUGACAAUAUGUACAGGUGGAUUCAUAAUUAUACAUGCUUCAUAAGGAAAUGCCUCAAUCAUCUCUAAAACCAAACAAGGGUUAACUAUGGUGAUGCGUACAGGUGAAUUCAUAAU